rnacentral:lncRNA from 1 species
GAAGGACAAAAUUUUAGGGAAAAACUUUGAUUGGUCCAACAUAGAUGGAGAAAUGACAACUGGAGAGGGGAGUUCUACUGGAGAGGGGAGUUCACACAUAUACACUGAAAGCUGCCCAUCAAAAGAGUUGCAGAACCAGGACUACAGCCCUUGCAUCUUGACUGCCAGUACGAUGCAGGUUAAACUCUGUGUUUGAUGCUUGUUGAUGUGGACGUCUGGAACUUGAAUAGAAGACAUUUCUUAUUUCAGAUGCAUCCAUUAGCAGGUCUUAGCCAGGAGCCAGGCCCUUGCAAGUAUAUAUUGCAAGUAAUUGAUGACAUUGGAGCCAGAAAUCGAAUGAACCGGGCCCAGUUCAAUCCACUUACUGGACAAGCUCCUCAAGCACUCUAAGCCCCAAUUUCCUCCUCUGUAAAGUGGGCAUAAAUUACAUUUACCUUGAGGGUUGCUGUGAAGGCUAGAAAUAAUAUAUGUAAUGUCCCCUGAUACACAGAAGGUGCUCAAGAAAUAGUAAGCUCUUCUAAUGAUUGUUAUUGAUGGCAAAGAUGAUGAAAAAACAAAUGCUCUGACUUCUCAAAGGA